GGCCAGACUCCUACGGGAGGCAGCAGUGGGGGAUAUUGCACAAUGGGGGGAACCCUGAUGCAGCGACGCCGCGUGGGUGAAGGAGUGCUUCGGCAUGUAAAGCCCUAUCGGCAGGGAAGAAGCAAGACGGUACCUGACUAAGAAGCCCCGGCUAACUACGUGCCAGCAGCCGCGGGAAUACGUAGGGGGCGAGCGUUAUCCGGAUUUACUGGGUGUAAAGGGAGCGCAGGCGGCACGGCAAGCCUGAUGUGAAAGCCCGCGGCCCAACCGCGGGACUGCAUUGGGAACUACCGGGCUGGAGUGCCGGAGAGGUAGGCGGAAUUCCUAGUGUAGCGGUGAAAUGCGUAGAUAUUAGGAGGAACACCAGUGGCGAAGGCGGCCUACUGGACGGUGACUGACGCUGAGGCUCGAAAGCGUGGGGAGCAAACAGGAUUAGAUACCCCCGUAC
rnacentral:rRNA from 1 species